rnacentral:rRNA from 1 species
GAGUUUGAUCCUGGCUCAGAAUGAACGCUAGCGGCAGGCUUAACACAUGCAAGUCGAGGGGUAACAUAGAAAAGCUUGCUUUUCUGAUGACGACCGGCGCACGGGUGCGUAACGCGUAUACAAUCUGCCUUAUACUGGGGUAUAGCCUUUAGAAAUGAAGAUUAACCCCCCAUAGUCUCUUUAAAUGGCAUCAUUUUUAGAGUAAAGGUUACGGUAUAAGAUGAGUAUGCGUUCUAUUAGUUUGUUGGUGAGGUAACGGCUCACCAAGACUGCGAUAGAUAGGGGCCCUGAGAGGGGGAUCCCCCACACUGGUACUGAGACACGGACCAGACUCCUACGGGAGGCAGCAGUGAGGAAUAUUGGACAAUGGAGGCAACUCUGAUCCAGCCAUGCCGCGUGCAGGAAGACUGCCCUAUGGGUUGUAAACUGCUUUUAUACAGGAAGAAACCUUGGUACGUGUACCAAGCUGACGGUACUGUAAGAAUAAGGAUCGGCUAACUCCGUGCCAGCAGCCGCGGUAAUACGGAGGAUCCAAGCGUUAUCCGUAAUCAUUGGGUUUAAAGGGUCCGUAGGUGGAUAAUUAAGUCAGGGGUGAAAUCUUGCAGCUCAACUGUAAAAUUGCCUUUGAUACUGGUUAUCUUGAGUCAUUAUGAAGUAGUUAGAAUAUGUAGUGUAGCGGUGAAAUGCAUAGAUAUUACAUAGAAUACCAAUUGCGAAGGCAGAUUACUAAUAAUGUACUGACACUGAUGGACGAAAGCGUGGGUAGCGAACAGGAUUAGAUACCCUGGUAGUCCACGCCGUAAACGAUGGUUACUAGCUGUGUGGACUUCGGUCUGCGUGGCUAAGCGAAAGUGAUAAGUAACCCACCUGGGGAGUACGUUCGCAAGAAUGAAACUCAAAGGAAUUGACGGGGGCCCGCACAAGCGGUGGAGCAUGUGGUUUAAUUCGAUGAUACGCGAGGAACCUUACCAGGGCUUAAAUGUAAGUUGCAUUAGCUAGAGAUAGCUAUUUNUUNGGACCACUUACAAGGUGCUGCAUGGUUGUCGUCAGCUCGUGCCGUGAGGUGUCAGGUUAAGUCCUAUAACGAGCGCAACCCCUGUUGUUAGUUGCCAGCGAGUCAUGUCGGGAACUCUAACAAGACUGCCGGUGCAAACCGUGAGGAAGGUGGGGAUGACGUCAAAUCAUCACGGCCCUUACGUCCUGGGCUACACACGUGCUACAAUGGUCGGUACAGAGAGCAGCCACUGCGCGAGCAGGAGCGAAUCUAUAAAACCGAUCACAGUUCGGAUCGGAGUCUGCAACUCGACUCCGUGAAGCUGGAAUCGCUAGUAAUCGGAUAUCAGCCAUGAUCCGGUGAAUACGUUCCCGGGCCUUGCACACACC